rnacentral:tRNA from 1 species
GAAGGUAUAGCUCAGUGGCAGAGCGAUUGCUUAGCAUGCACAAGGUCCUGGGUUCAAUCCCCAGUACCUCCA